rnacentral:rRNA from 1 species
CCUACGGGAGGCAGCAGUGAGGGAUAUUGGUCAAUGGGCGCAAGCCUGACCCAGCAACGCCGCGUGAGGGAAGACGGCUUUCGGAUUGUAAACCUCUGUUCUCUGUGAAGAUAGUGACGGUAGCAGAGGAGUAAGCUCCGGCUAACUACGUGCCAGCAGCCGCGGUAAUACGUAGGGGGCGAGCGUUAUCCGGAUUUACUGGGUGUAAAGGGUGCGUAGGCGGGUUGGCAAGUCAGUAGUGAAAUCCAUGGGCUUAACCCAUGAACUGCUAUUGAAACUGUCGAGCUUGAGUGAAGGAGAGGUAGGCGGAAUUCCCGGUGUAGCGGUGAAAUGCGUAGAGAUCCGGAGGAACACCAGUGGCGAAGGCGGCCUACUGGGCUAUAACUGACGCUGAGGCACGAAAGCGUGGGUAGCAAACAGGAUUAGAUACCCUUGUAGUC